rnacentral:rRNA from 1 species
CUGGCUCAGAGCGAACGCUGGCGGCGUGUCUACACAUGCAAGUCGAACGCGAAAAUUUUCCUCGGAAAGUGAGUAGAGUGGCGCACGGGUGAGUAACGCGUAAGUUAUCUACCUCGGCAUCUGGAAUAACCCACCGAAAGGUGAGCUAAUACCGGAUACGUUCAGACUGGUGCGAAUCAGUUUGAAGAAAGGUGGCCUCUUCUUGAAAGCUACUGUGCAGGGACGAGCUUGCGUACCAUUAGCUAGUUGGUAGGGUAAUGGCCUACCAAGGCGACGAUGGUUAGCGGGUCUGAGAGGAUGAUCCGCCACACUGGAACUGAAACACGGACCAGACUCCUACGGGAGGCAGCAGUGAGGAAUAUUGCGCAAUGGGGGAAACCCUGACGCAGCGACGCCGCGUGGAUGAUGAAGGCCUUCGGGUCGUAAAAUCCUGUCAAGUGGAAAGAAAUGCAUGGUGGCUAAUACCUGCCAUGUUUGACGGUACCACUGAAGGAAGCACCGGCUAACUCCGUGCCAGCAGCCGCGGUAAUACGGAGGGUGCAAGCGUUGUUCGGAAUUACUGGGCGUAAAGCGCGCGUAGGCGGUUUGCUAAGUCAGAUGUGAAAGCCCAUGGCUCAACCAUGGACGUGCAUUUGAAACUGGCAGACUUGAGUAUUGGAGGGGGUGGUGGAAUUCCCGGUGUAGAGGUGAAAUUCGUAGAUAUCGGGAGGAAUACCGGUGGCGAAGGCGACCACCUGGCCAAAUACUGACGCUGAGGUGCGAAAGCGUGGGGAGCAAACAGGAUUAGAUACCCUGGUAGUCC